CCUACGGGAGGCUGCAGUGGGGAAUAUUGCACAAUGGGCGCAAGCCUGAUGCAGCCAUGCCGCGUGUGUGAAGAAGGCCUUCGGGUUGUAAAGCACUUUCAGCGGGGAGGAAGGCGGUGAGGUUAAUAACCUCAUCGAUUGACGUUACCCGCAGGAGAAGCACCGGCUAACUCCGUGCCAGCAGCCGCGGUAAUACGGAGGGUGCAAGCGUUAAUCGGAAUUACUGGGCGUAAAGCGCACGCAGGCGGUCUGUCAAGUCGGAUGUGAAAUCCCCGGGCUCAACCUGGGAACUGCAUUCGAAACUGGCAGGCUAGAGUCUUGUAGAGGGGGGUAGAAUUCCAGGUGUAGCGGUGAAAUGCGUAGAGAUCUGGAGGAAUACCGGUGGCGAAGGCGGCCCCCUGGACAAAGACUGACGCUCAGGUGCGAAAGCGUGGGGAGCAAACAGGAUUAGAUACCCGAGUAGUC
rnacentral:rRNA from 1 species